UCAAGGUAGGGACUGAUCUCUGAAAUAUUAGUGAAUAGAAAGGCCCCAUGUGUAUUAUCAGUCAUGGUUAACAGAUAACUACCAUUUAAUACAAUUUUGUUCCCCCUCUCGCACACCACCCACCUCACUAUGGGCCAGGAACGGCAGUCCCUCCUCAACUCCCUCCACCCCCACACCAGCCCUCAACGUGCAGCGAACAAAGGAGCUUUGUGCUGUGAGGAAAAACAUGGUGACACGGUCUGCCACGGACACUGAGGUCACCAAACACGCAAUCAGGUGUUUCAACCGGCGGUGGAUCAGGCAACGAGGAGAUGUGUUCCGCCUCCAUCCACACAAAUGGAGUAAUAGGAGAAAUAAGCAUUAAACAAUCUUUUUAUUGAA